AUUUGAUGGUACCUUUCUACUCGGAUAACCGUUGUAACUCAAGAGCUAAUACGUGCGUUGAAGCCCCGUCCUCACGGUAGGGGUGCAUUUAUUAGAUUCAAACCAUCGGCCUCACGGCCCUUGAUGGUGAGUCAUGAUAACUGAGCGAAUCGAAUGGCCUUGUGCUGUCGAUGCUUCAUUCAAAUUUCUGCCCUAUCAGCUUUCGAUGGUAGGAUCUUGGCCUACCAUGGCUAUAACGGGUAACGGGGAAUUAGGGUUCGAUUCCGGGGAGGGAGCUUGAGAAACGGCUACCACAUCCAAGGAUGGCAGCAGGCGCGCAAAUUACCCAAUCCCGACACGGGGAGGUAGUGACAUGAAAUAACAAUAGCGGAUGUUUACACAUCCGCUAAUUGGAAUGAGAGUAAUUUAAACCACUACUCGAGGAGCCAUU
rnacentral:rRNA from 1 species